rnacentral:piRNA from 1 species
UAGAGGAGAGAGAGCAGGAUGAUAG